rnacentral:rRNA from 1 species
AGUGAACGCUGGCGGUAGGCCUAACACAUGCAAGUCGAACGGCAGCACAGUAAGAGCUUGCUCGUACGGGUGGCGAGUGGCGGACGGGUGAGGAAUACAUCGGAAUCUACUUUUUCGUGGGGGAUAACGUAGGGAAACUUACGGUAAUACCGCAUACGACCUACGGUUGAAAGCAGUGGAUCUUCUGACCUUGCGCGAUUGAAUGAGCCGAUGUCGGAGUAGCUAGUUGGCGGGGUAAAGGCCCACCAAGGCGACGAUCCGUAGCUGGUAUGAGAGGAUGAUCGGCCACACUGGAACUGAGACACGGUCCCGACUCCUAGGGGAGGAAGCGGUGGGGAAUAUUGGACAAUGGGGGAAAGCCUGAUCCAGCCAUACCGCGUGGGUGAAGAAGGCCUUCGGGUUGUAAAGCCCUUUUGUUGGGAAAGAAAAGAAGCAGGUUAAUACCCCGCUGUUCUGACGGUACCCAAAGAAUAAGCACCGGCUAACUUCGUG